rnacentral:rRNA from 1 species
GACGAACGCUGGCGGCGUGCUUAACACAUGCAAGUCGAACGGAAAGGCCCCAGCUUGCUGGGGUACUCGAGUGGCGAACGGGUGAGUAACACGUGGGUGAUCUGCCCUGCACUCUGGGAUAAGCCUGGGAAACUGGGUCUAAUACCGGAUAGGACCGUGCUUUAGUGUGUGCGGUGGAAAGUUUUUCGGUGCAGGAUGAGCCCGCGGCCUAUCAGCUUGUUGGUGGGGUAAUGGCCUACCGAGGCGGCGACGGGUAGCCGGCCUGAGAGGGUGUACGGCCACAUUGGGACUGAGACACGGCCCAGACUCCUACGGGAGGCAGCAGUGGGGAAUAUUGCACAAUGGGCGCAAGCCUGAUGCAGCGACGCCGCGUGGGGGAUGACGGCCUUCGGGUUGUAAACCCCUUUCGGCAGGGACGAAGCUUUUGUGACGGUACCUGCAUAAGAAGCACCGGCUAACUACGUG